AUGAUCCCUCUAUCAACAAUCUUACAAAAAACAAAUCUCAGCUGUCAAACAUCUAAGAAAUCUCACAAAAUUUCGCAUCUGAUGUACAUGGAUGACCUGAAGCUGUAUGGGAAAACGGAAACUGAAAUCCAGUCUCUGACCAACACUGUCCGAAUUUUUAGCACUGAUAUCAGCAUGGAGUUUGGUUUGGACAAAUGUUCGACAGUGGCAUUGAAGAAGGGAAAAAUCAUGGAAAGUGAGGGCAUAAAUAUGCCUAAUGGCCAAACAAUAAAGUGUCACCAGCCAGAGGCCUAUAAAUAUCUGGGCAUAUUACAGCUGGACAACAUCAAGCAUGAACAUGUGAAAACUGUGGUCAGCAAAGAAUACACACAAAGGGUCAGAAAAAUUCUCAAAAGCAAGCUCAAUGGAGGCAACACCAUCAAGGCCAUAAACACCUGGGCCAUACCUGUCAUAAGAUAUACUGCUGGCAUCAUAAACUGGACACUGGUGGAACUGGACAAUUUGGACAGAAAAACAAGAAAACUCAUGACCAUUCAUCAUUCACUGCACUCUCGCAGUGAUGUUGACCGGCUAUAUCUGCCUAGAAGAUCAGGGGGCAGAGGACUCUUACAAGUAAAACAAGCAGUCAAAAAUCAGAAACUCCUCAAAGCACAGCAGACAAAAAACCAGUAUAAGAAAGCCGCACUACAAACUAGAGCUGACAGCUGGCACAACAAAACAUUGCAUGAAAAGUUCCUUGACAAAAUUGAAGGAAAAGCUGAUAAGGAGAAGACCUGGCUCUGGCUCACGAAUGGGACCCUGAAGAAGGAGACAGAAGGCCUGAUCCUUGCAGCCCAGGAGCAAGACAUCAGAACAAAGGCAAUUAAGGCCAAGAUCGAAAAAUCAGCUGAUGACCCAAAAUGCAGACUGUGCAAGGAAACCGACGAAACCAUUGAUCAGGUUUGGAUCAUUGAUGUUGCCAUCCCAGGUGACAGUCGCAUUGAUGAAAAACAACAGGAAAAACUCAGCCACUAUCAGGACCUCAAGAUUGAACUUCAAAGACUCUGGCAGAAACCAGUGCAGGUGGUCCCGGUGGUGAUGGGCACACUGGGUGCCGUGCCAAAAGAUCUCAGCCGGCAUUUGGAAACAAUAGACAUUGACAAAAUUACGAUCUGCCAACUGCAAAAGGCCACCCUCCUGGGAUCUGCACGCAUCAUCCGAAAAUACAUCACACAGUCCUAG
rnacentral:lncRNA from 1 species